UAAUAUUGUGUAUUAUUAAGGGAUUAAAUCUGACCAUAUUACAAAGAAACAAAUCCACCAUCAACACUAGAAAGAAGAAGAACCAAAAAAAAAAAAAAACAGUAGCAGCCAGAUAUCUGAAAUGAAUAACAAUUAUUAUGCAACACAAAAAACUAAAAACUAAGAAUUGUAAAAAUAUAAAUGAUGAUGAUCAGAGAUUUUGAGAUUAUUGGGUGGACUUGUUUCAAUCAAAAGCAAGCAUCCAACACACAACAGCAACACAAGGCAGCACAGCAGCCCUUCCAGAAGCCAUCACCCUUUGACUUGGUUUCUACAGGAACAGAGUUCUGAGGCUCAUCUCUUGUUGGGUAGCCUGCAGGAGGUGGAGGGGCUUGCACAUGAUAUUGCUGGGCAGAGUUGAAGGUGACAGGUAGCUGGCCAACUGAAAGUUGCAGGUAGUUCGCCAACUGAAGGUGGCAGUUUGCCAACUGCACCACGUCUUGUGGUUUAACACUUUUUAUUUCUUUUAAAAAGGGGUUGGAUAAAACUUUUCAUUGACUAGAGACUAGGGUUAAUAGAGGCAUUGAUUGACGGAUUAAUUGAAUAAAUUAUUGACUGAUCAUCUUUCAAUAUACAUGACUCGAGAAAGAGUCAACUGUCGACUAUUUAUUUUUUGGGAGACUUUGGAAAAGGCCAAAAGAGAGAGAAAUUUUUUAAAAGAAGCCAAAAUGGACAAAAUUGCCCUUUUUUAUUUUUGAAUUUCCUAAGGAAUCCUUUGUAUUUGCAUGUCUUUGGUUUGAAAGUUGAGAGAUUUUUGUCUUUUUUGAAAAAGUUUUGAUUUUUUUCAGAAGUAAAAGUUUUUUUGUGGCUAAAACCUAAAUUUACUUUGUUUUUCCUUUCAUUUUUAAUGCAAUUUUGGACAACAAUAUUUUUCUCUACUCCAUCUACCAUGUAUUUAAAUGGUAUCUAAAUGAAAUUUCUCUUUAUUUAUUUAUUUAUUCUUAAACAAGUUUCUGAGCCGGCUUAGUUGAUCCACGAUUUAUCUUUCAUAUCAAGUGGAAGCAAUGGGUAGCACCAAGAUUUUUUCUAUAACCAAUUUUAUUCAAACAAAAAAUAUAACUAUAAUUCAGUCGACCGUUGAGGGUGGAGGUGGGCCAAGCCUUGCUUAUCUAAGGGCACACUCCCUUCGUUUGUAACCUAGUUUGUCAUGCACUCUCAAUUUACUUUCUCAAAGGCUCUCAAGCAUGCGUACAAAGUGACAAUCGUCUAUUAUAGUGAAAAUAACCACACAACAAUUAUAGUGAAAACAAUCAUACAACUCAACGUAGACGUAUCCAUUUGGGUGCACCACGAUAUAUUUAUAGGAUUUAUUUGUGUAUUUCGUGACCUUAUCUCGUUCACCUAAUUUUUGACGUCAACAAUAUUAAUAAUUUUAUUUAAACGGAAUUUGUACAAAGCAUAUGAAAGAGAGUGGGCAAUGGGACCAGAUAUACCUCAUGCUCAAAGCAUGAGUUUCAAAAAUAUAAAUGACAAGUUUGUCAAACACUCUGGUUUGAUUGCUUUAUGUUUACUCGUAUGAUCUUCAUAUCCAAUUGAUCACCAACAACUCUCACCUAAUGUUUGAACAUUGACAAAAGGCUUUAAACUAAAACAGAAAAAGAGCACGAUUCUGUAUUAUUAAGGGAUUAAAUCUGACCAUAUACAAAGAAACUAAUCCACCACCACUACAAAGAAGAAGAACCAAAAAAAAACAGAAAAAAAAAAAGUAGCAGCCAGAUAUCUGAAAUGAAUAACAAUUAUUAUACAAAGAUGAUGAGAGUUGGACAAUCCGGAACUGUAUCCAAUCUACAUGGUCUCUUCUUCAGUAUCACACAAAAAACUAAAAAUCAACUAUGAAUUCUAUAAAUAUAAAAGACGAUGAUCAGAGAUACUGAGAUUAUUGGGUGGACUUGUUUCAAUCAAAAGCAAGCAUCCAACACACAACAGCAACACAAGGCAGCACAGCAGCCUUUCCAGAAGCCAUCACCCUUUGACUUGGUUUCUACAGGAACAGAGUUCUGGGGCACAUCUCUUGUUGGGUAGCCUGCAGGAGGUGGAGCUUGCACCUGAUAUUGCUGGGCAGAGUUGGGAGCUUGGGCAGGGUAUGCUGCUGCUACAUGAAAUUCAUCAAACAAUUGUCAAUAACCAUAUUCAAAGACAUCUUUUUUCUAUAUUGUUGAACAAAAGUUCAGAACUUUAAGCAACCCAGCAACAACAAAGACCAAACAAAUGAAUUUUCAAAGUGUUUUGUGUACCAAGUUGCUAAAAACUAGUAAUUGAAGUGCAGAAAUUCAGUACCUGUGGAAUUUGUUGAACUCAUCUUUGAAGAAAGGCUGUGAAAUUCAAAAGAAUAUGAGAUGUUGGGUUGGGGUUUAGAAUGAGAAAUACUUGGAAGGUUUUGAGUUACUGGUUUAGAGAUGAGAGAUGAUGAUAUUUAUAGUAGAGAGGAGAAGCAGACGCAGAUGAGAAUGGCGAAGAAUUGAUGGAGUGGUUGUUUCUUAGAAG
rnacentral:lncRNA from 1 species